ACCAGACUCCUACGGGAGGCAGCAGUGGGGGAUAUUGCACAAUGGGGGGAACCCUGAUGCAGCGACGCCGCGUGGGUGAAGGAGUAUUUCGGUAUGUAAAGCCCUAUCGGCAGGGAAGAAGCAAGACGGUACCUGACUAAGAAGCCCCGGCUAACUACGUGCCAGCAGCCGCGGUAAUACGUAGGGGGCGAGCGUUAUCCGGAUUCACUGGGUGUAAAGGGAGCGUAGACGGCCAAGCAAGCCAGGGGUGAAAGCCCGGGGCCCAACCCCGGGACUGCCCUUGGAACUGCUUGGCUGGAGUGCGGGAGGGGCAGGCGGAAUUCCUGGUGUAGCGGUGAAAUGCGUAGAUAUCAGGAGGAACACCGGCGGCGAAGGCGGCCUGCUGGACCGCGACUGACGUUGAGGCUCGAAAGCGUGGGGAGCAAACAGGAUUAGAUACCCUCGUAU
rnacentral:rRNA from 1 species